AGGUGUUUUCAGCAUCCUUGAUGGCGAAGAAGAAGGGAUGAUCCGCGGUGAACUCAAAUACUUGCUCUCCAAUCAAAAGAGACUCCACCGCAGCAUUGACAUCUAGAGUCGCUCCACUGGCAGAGGUUCCCUUUUCGUUAAUCUCAAUAACCGCCUUGUGCUUCACCUCCGAGAUGUGCAGGGGUUCCGAUUCCCGGAGAAGGCUGCUGAGGUUUGCUCCAGGAGAGAAAAGUUUCUUUAUGCCCAACUAAAAGAGUCAAAAAUAAUUAUGCUCGAGAAUAUAAAUAUGUAUAAAGAAGUCUUUGGCGUAUCAGUAGGUAUUGAUAAAUAUACUCCGAAAAUUUAAAUAUAA